UUCCCAUAUGAUCACCAAAGUUAAGCAACACCGAGCCUGGUCAGUAUCUAGAUGGGUGACCAUUUGGGAAUAUCUGGUGCCGUACG